rnacentral:rRNA from 1 species
GCCUAGCCCUAAACAUUGGUAGCAAAAUACACCUGCUAUCCGCCUGGGAACUACGAGCAUUAGCUUAAAACCCAAAGGACUUGGCGGUGCUUUAGAUCCACCUAGAGGAGCCUGUCCUAGAACCGAUAACCCCCGUUAAACCUCACCCCUCCUUGUCCUCCCCGCCUAUAUACCGCCGUCGUCAGCUUACCCUGUGAAGGGCUUAUAGUAAGCAAAAUUGGUAAAACCCAAAACGUCAGGUCGAGGUGUAGCGUAUGGAGGGGGAAGAGAUGGGCUACAUUCCCUAAUGCAGUGAACACGAAUAAUGAGUUGAAAUACUCAUCUGAAGGAGGAUUUAGUAGUAAACAGGAAAUAGAGAGUCCUGCUGAAACCGGCCCUGAAGCGCGC